CUGGAGCCUGUGUUCCCGUCUCUCUUAACACGUGCAGAUAGCCAGCUGUCAGGCCUGGCCUACCAAUGCCACCUCCCAGCGGUGCUAGACAAUGGCCUGCCUCGGUUCCCAGUUCUGCAGCCUUUCCUAGGAUGGCUCCACGGACAGGACUUCCAGAUCCAACUUUACCACCAUUUUAUUCCUUAUAGGGUGGGCUGGGUUUCUCCACCAAAGAGAGAGAGGCAACGAAGCCGCGCAGACCAGCAGGACUUGAAGAGGAUGGAAAGUUUAAUCUCCAGAGUAUCCUAGAGCACACACCAGGGUCUGUUCUGCAUUGAGGUCUUUUGGAGAGUGGCCAUCUUGGGAACCUGCCUCGACUAGGCGGAAGAACCCAGAGUGGUAGCCAAAGGUGCCACCAAGGAGCUGCCCAUGCAGGAGCUGCCAAGGUGGGGGGACCUUGAGGACUCUAGGAGGUCUGGCAGUGACUUCCUAGCGGGAGGAAAGGCCUGAGGAGGGUGUCCGGCCAAAAGCUGAAAGAGCCCUGUGUGGGGAAGAAGGCCCAGCUCAGCCACACCCUAAAACCAGAGCACAGGGUCCCUCCUGAGAUCUGCAGCGCACCAGCCUCUCCGGUACCCCUCCUCUAUAGAGCUCAGAUACCCUGACCACCUACACACGUGCUAUAGCCAGUUGGCCCCAGAGGAUCAGAAUGAGCCAGAGCCUGUGUGGCUACCCCGGCAGACUUACCCCAAAGCUGUGGGCUCCUGAAGGAGUUCUCUCUUCAAGUUCCGGGAGGCUAAGGAGGCACAUACAUGCUCUUAAGGCCCAGAAAGUGAGGAUACACCAUUAUCUUUUGGCCUUGGCCACCCCAGUGGACUUUUGGCUGUCAGAAGAAAGAGGCCCUGACCCCAGGACAGUCUGCACCAGCUGCAGAACACAGAUCCUUCAGGCUUAGGACUCUCAAGCAAGUGCCAAUGCUGUUCUUCUGGGACUUUGCUCCAUUCCCAGAACUGACUCUGUUCCCUCGUUGCCAACCAGGGAGGGGGCCAGGCCAGAGGGUUUUGUGGUCUACAGCCUGGAAUCUUCCACAGAGAAUGGAGUUGAGGGAGAUCCCA